UACGUAGGGCGCAAGCGUUUGUCCGGAUUUAUUGGGCGUAAAGAGCUCGUAGGCGGUUUGUCGCGUUCUUCCGUGAAAACUGGGGGCUUAACUUCCAGCUUGCGGUGGAUACGGGCUGACUGGAGUGCGGCAGGGGAGACUGGAAUUCCUGGUGUAGCGGUGAAAUGCGCAGAUAUCAGGAGGAACACCGGUGGCGAAGGCGGGUCUCUGGGCAGUAACUGACGCUGAGGAGCGAAAGCGUGGGGAGCGAACAGG
rnacentral:rRNA from 1 species